rnacentral:lncRNA from 1 species
AUUUCAUUUCUGUCCAGUGAGUGACUGGAACGCUACAAGAAAGAUUUACGAGUACCGCCCUCGGAUUUUUGGCAACAAUUUCACGAAACGCUGACGCCCUGUAUUCCGUUGGCACGUAACAGUUACAAAUUUCCUUGUAAUUUUUGGUCUGGAAAUCUGUAUUAUGUAUGUAUGUAAUAUAUGUGUAACGAAAUAUGAAAAAAAAGGUGAUAAAGCAGCAAGUCUGCAUAUAACUUUUAUAUUAAAAAAAAAAUAAAAAUACAAGGCCCGUGAUAGAGAGACGCAUGUCGUUAGUGCAAUAAGAGGAUUCAGAGAAGCACAACGCAAUAACGAUGAAUAAAUGUAAAUAUCACAAUAUACGAUGGAACGAAUAAAAAAUUUCCCAAAAUAUUGACUUAAUUUAACUCCGGCUGUAGGGAACUUUGAGGUAAAACACCGCAGUGGAAGCGGUUCUAUAAGGGAAAAGUUCUCUGUCUGUCGAGGAGGACUAACCUGGCAUCGGCUUCGUGAAGCUUUCCUGCUGAGCAAGCGUCCGUACACACGCCUCCAUUCAGUCAGUACCUUUUUUUAUUCGUUAAACUAAGGUGGGAGAAAAAUAAUAAUGACGGACUCCAAUAUUGUAAACAAUCUAUGUUUUAUUACA